AGAGAAGCUUGAAGGAAUUGAAGAAUGUUAUUACGAAACCAAGAGAUUGAAGUUAGACGGGUUGGGAGGAAUGCAUGGUAGAGACUGUUUUUGAAGGUAUAGAAAUGGAAAAGGUCAAGAGCACAACUGGAUGAAGAGGACAACCCCUAUCCCUAUUUGAUUUGAUCAGCUCUCCAGUCCCUGGGCUGGUGCCAUCCCAUAUCCUAGUGAUAUCAGCACCUCCAUUGACAUCUGGCACGAUGCCUCCAGUCUGGAACCUUACAGCCAAUCAGAGUUGAUGAUAUUGUAUUAAUGGUUCCACAAUAAAAUGAAAAAGACGGCCUUCAUUUUGAUGAAAGCUGUAAAGUA